rnacentral:rRNA from 1 species
UACGGAAGGUCCGGGCGUUAUCCGGAUUUAUUGGGUUUAAAGGGAGCGUAGGCCGGUCUUUAAGCGUGCCGUGAAAUUUUGUGGCUCAACCAUGAGAGUGCGGCGCGAACUGGAGACCUUGAGUGCAGAAGAGGAGAGUGGAACUCCAUGUGUAGCGGUGAAAUGCGUAGAUAUAUGGAAGAACACCAGUGGCGAAAGCGGCUCUCUGGUCUGUAACUGACGCUGAGGCUCGAAAGCAUGGGUAGCGAACAGG